rnacentral:rRNA from 1 species
UACAGAGGAUGCAAGCGUUAUCCGGAAUGAUUGGGCGUAAAGCGUCUGUAGGUGGCUUUUUAAGUCCGCCGUCAAAUCCCAGGGCUCAACUCUGGACAGGCGGUGGAAACUACCAAGCUGGAGUACGGUAGGGGCAGAGGGAAUUCCCGGUGUAGCGGUGAAAUGCGUAGAGAUCGGGAAGAACACCAAUGGCGAAAGCACUCUGCUGGGCCGAAACUGACACUGAGAGACGAAAGCUAGGGGAGCGAAUGGG